CGCGCCGAGGCAGAGGCGGCGCACUGGCGGCUUCCCUCUGAGCGCGCCUCCUGGGGGUGCGGGACUAGGAACACCUCCUUCCUUGUCCUUAGGUGUGCAGAGCUCCGAGUUACCACGGUGCGGCUUCGGGCGGGGUGGGGGGAGGCGGAGGGAGUGGGUUGUGGAUCGGGGUUCCAAGAAGCGGGAAUUUGGAGUCCUGGGUUUCCUAGCUGUCUCUCUGAUGUCCCUCGAGCCGGGUCGAACCAGCUGCCCGAGCCCGAAGCCGUCCCAGCUCUCCAUUUACAGGCGCCUCGUGGGCUCUUUUCCAUUGGCUUGGAAAGCGCGUUCAAGAAUCAUCGUUCAAUGGACUUGACCCACCGGUUGAGUAAAUGAGAUUCCAAACGCUUCCUGAUCUGGGAGGAUCCCAAGAAGAUCCCAGGGGGAGGAUCCCAGCCGGUCUCGGAGGUCAAGUAUGACUGGCGGAUCGUUGGACGCUAGCUUUCCAGGGCCCCACAGGCGAGCCAGCGCAUGAAGCCUUGGAAAAUCCUGCUUUCGAGUUCAAAGCAAUUUGAUACAAACACCUAACUACCACCAUCACUACUGCUGCCGCCCGCUGCCAGGGCCCCAAUCUGAACUCCCUGCGGACUUGCCACAAUAAGUCUAGCAGAGCUGUCCGGUAAGCAUUUGUUAAACCUGUGACUCGAUGAAUAUAUGCGCGAUGAGGACCUAGGGCUCUGAAGAUUGGCCGGUGUGUACGCAUCAGCUCCCGGGCGAGCCAAGGCUAGAGAAGCAGCGAAUCAGAAGGGUAACCCAUCUCCCGCACCCGAAGUCGGAAGAGGAUGGAAAAAGAGCAGCAGCCCGUCCACCGGGUGCACGAUGGGCACCGUCUGCAUUACGGGGAAGGCAGGUGUGGCCAGCUCCCAGCGCGCGGUGCGCACCAGCUCGACAGCGAGCAGUUGCAGCACCGCCUGCGCUAGCUCCUGCCCCAGGCAGCUGCGCGCGCCGCCGCCGAACGGGAUGUAAUGAAAGCGGCCACCGGAGCCCCGCGCGUCUCCACUCUCCACGCCAAAGCGCUCCGGAUCGAAGCCCUCGGGCGGGCUACGGUACACUGCGGCUGUCUCAUGCGUGUCUCGGAUGCUAUACAUCACGCUCCAGCCCUUGGGGAUCUGGUAACCCUGCGAAGUGAGGGGGCCCGUGUUGAUCGCUAAGCACAGGGAAAUGGCUGGAGCCUACCCCGCCCCGCGCGCCUCACCCCAGGAGCGCCAAAUAAACCUCCAGGGGCCUGUGAUUAAUCCUGAAGCCAGAAGAUUGCAGAAUCUCCUUGGCGCCUUCACUGGUGAGCUGUAAGUUCUUGGACUGCUUCCUCCCAGCCCCCCAUUUCUUAGUUGGGAAAAGUAAGAAUAAAAAAAAUGGGCACGUUGUUGAGGGAAUUUUAAGAGGUUGGCACGCAUUAGUAGUACCCAUGAGAUCGAAAAUUACUUAUGAGUUUGUUGGCUUUCUGUUCCUGUUUUCUUCUAACACAGUAGACUAACAUUGUAAGAAUGUAGCUACCAGCUGUCUGAGCUGAAACAGCCCAGACAAAUGACUGAGAAUCGCCAUACCUCUGGGACAGUUCAAUUAUAAAAAUCUUUGCAUUUAACUCAAGACUUUCCCACCUUCUCGCUCACCUCUGGACUCUUAUACUACCUUAUGGUUACUACUUUAAGGGGAUGCACACCGUCCUUGCCCACCCCCACCCUCAGUCCUUUUAACCAUCCUCCCUCCUCCAUUACCCCCUGCUGGGUGUGGCAAACUCGGGGGGGGGGCAUUCCAGCUAGGAUGGGCUCCUGCCACUGACCUACAUUCCCCACCCCACCCUCCACCCCCGCCUGCACUGCUUGUUGCCUCUUCAAUUCCUGAACUAUAAUGCCACCUGUCCCUCAAAAGAUUGCCAUUUCAUCACUACUCAAGCUCUCACUAGGGAUAUUCUCUCCUCGCUCUCAGUCUCCCCAUCUGCAGGACAGAGGGUAGUGAGUGGGACCUUCCCUGUGCGCCCAUCUACUGCCCUGGAAGCUGGCUGGGA